rnacentral:rRNA from 2 species
UUAGGCAUUGUGGUGUUUGGACGGGCUCGCGGGAUUGCCGCUCCACUCGAAGUCCAGCAUUGAGUAUGGUUUCUGGAUUUGGCCCAGAGAGGGUGAAAGGCCCGUGCGGGUGGAGUUUCAGACAUGAUUGGCAAUUCACUAGGUCCGUCCUAGAGUCGGGUUGUUUGGGAAUGCAGCCCAAAGCGGGUGGUAAACUCCAUCCAAGGCUAAAUACUAGCACGAGUCCGAUAGCGAACAAGUACCGUGAGGGAAAGUUGAAAAGUACUUUGAAGAGAGAGUAAACAGUACGUGAAACCGCAUGAAGGUAAACGGGUGGCGUCAAGCUGCAAGCCUGGAGGAUUCAGUUGGUCAGGAUGUUGUGUAUGCGCCUAGCGCAUCUAUCAGUCGGCAUAGCUGGAGCAGUAUGAUUGUCGCAAGACGGUCUUGCACAGUCCGCUUGGUUGGCGGAGUGCACUGUUUCGGUCGCGGGCUGCCUGGCCAAUGCACUUUCUCUAUGGUGAACACCACGACCGGUGGUACUGCCAGUCUGCUUUGGUCAAGUCCUUGUUAACUGGUACUUGUUGCCAGCUAGCCUGGAUCACAUGCAAUUUCAGUGUACGGUGUUCGAUCGCUUCGGUGGUUGAGCAUGUUAUCGGAAACUGGUUGUAAACGGGCUGUGUGAAAUGGUUGCGAAACUUUUUGCGCAGUCUGGUGGACCUUUGUGGUAUGAAUAACUGUGCAGGGCACUGGUGUUAUCGGUCUCUGAAUCUGGCUGUUGCACACUUUGCAAGUGGUAGUGCAGGCGUCGUUCGCGUUUGCCUAUGCUUCGAUCUGAUUGUCGUGUCGCCUGCGAAAAGU